rnacentral:rRNA from 1 species
AGGGUGUAAACGCUGCAGACUUGGUGUUGGAGGCCCUUUGGGGGCAUUCAGUGCCGGAGAGAAGUUGUUAAGUCUGCUACUUGGGGAGUACGUCCGCAAGGAUGAAACUUAAAGGAAUUGGCGGGGGGAGCACCGCAACGGGAGGAGCGUGCGGUUUAAUUGGAUUCAACACCGUAAACUCACCAGGGAAGACUGUUACAUGAAGGCCGAGAUGAAGACUCUGCUAGAUUUUUCAGAGAGGAGGUGCAUGGCGUCAGUGACU